AGAACAAGGCUUAUCAUUUUUUUUUAACGGAGGAAAGGAAGGGAAAACAUCUUAGCCGCUACCAGCACCACCCCCACCGAUCUCAGCCAUCACCACCACUGCUGCCGCCAUCAUCACCACCACUGUAGCCACCAUGUCCAGUCUCAGCCGUCGCCACCAUCACUAGCCAUCAUCUUCUUCUUUCUUCUCCAUUCACAGAACCCUGAUUCUGCUUCAGUGGGGCUUCAAUCGAAAGCACAUGGGGCUUUGAUUGAAACCUUCGGGCUUCAAAUCAAACGCCCUAUGACUUGAAAUCGAAAAACAGGGGCUUCCAUCGAAGCUUUUGUGCUUCGAUUUUGAAGCCCAAAUGCUCGGGUUGAAGGCCCCAUUAUAGCUCUGGGAAAGGGGGAGGAUGAAGAAGCCGUAGCCGUCAACAACAAGCUGAAGAUGAGUGCGGUGUGGACGAACUGACGACGAGCUAGGAGGAAGAAGAAAAAGAAUAACUUGGACCAACUUGCGGAAGUUACAGACUCCCGGAGGCAGGUGCAAAAGACCCUUGUCUAAUGCUUUUCUUUCAGCUUGUGGCCUUUCUUCUGGUGUGUAGUUCAUGGACAUACUGAGGACUUAUAUGGGAGUUCAAUUGGCGUGCAACAACUUCCGUCUGGAAUCAAAUUAGAAGCUCACGAAGCAUGAAACAAGCUUUUGACUCAACUUUUUGUUUAUAUAUGUAUAUGUGGAUAUAUUAUCUCAAGUUUUAUCAGAGAAGGUUGAAUUUUAUGACCAUGUGAACUAAUGCAAUGCUUUCAUUUUCAUUUGCUUUCAGGACCCUCUAGGAGCUUUAGUUGGCAUCCAUUUUGAAAUUUGCAACCUUCAGGUAUGUAUGUAGCUUAGGCUUGAUAUUCUAAGCGUGUUAAAUAUUGCCGGACCUUGAACCACUGUGCAACUGUCUCUUUUUAAUUAGUUCAGUUUUGAUGCCUAGAUCCCUUUUUGUAUAUGACUGAUAGAUUAUGCUUGAGAAAAGCACAAAAACCCUCCUCGUGGUUUGAGUUUGAGGCAAAUUGAAUCCCGUGAUUUUUUUAGGGAUAAAUAACACCUUGCAUUUACUUUGUAAGACGUAAUGGACCUCACCGUUAAUUUUUUCAUCACUUUUGGUCCUUAAAUUUUUCUUUGUCAUUAUUACCCUCAGACUUUCAAUUUUUUGCAAUUUGAUCUUAAAAUUCGAAAAAGAAAAGGGGGGAAAGGGGCUUGGGCCGCCAGUCGGCAACCUCAACCCCACCAUCAAGGUUGCCGACACUCAAUGAAUAUGUCGGAAACCUCGAGGGUGGGGUCGGGAUCUUCAAUUGGUGGCCUUAACUUCCGAAUCGAUCGAGAUUUCGAGCUCUAGAUCCCGAUAGAUUCAGGGACGGGGUUGCCAAUCUACGGCCUCGACCCCACCUUAAUGGUCGUCGGCAUUCUCUGUGGGUGCAUGCGAACUCGGUGGUGGGGUUGGAGUUGUCAUCUGACGCCCUCGGCCCCUUAGCUUAUUUUUUUUGAAUUUUAGGACCAAAUUGAAAAAAAGUUAAAAGUUUGAGGGUAAUAAUGGCAAAAAGAAAAGUUUGAAGACUAAAAAGUGACGAAAAAAAUUAACGGUGAGAACCAUUACAUGAAUCAAAUUGUGUUAUUUGUCUCUUAAAAAACUAUAGGGUCCAACUUGUCUAAAGCUCAAACUAUAAAGGGGAUUUUUGUAUUUUUCCCGCUAGGUUUUAUAUCACUUUAGGGCGGUUUGUAAUAACUUCAAAUUUUGAGCAAAAAUAAAUGUUUUAGUGUUUAAAUACAUUAUUAGUGAUUCAUUUUUGCUUAAA